UUCCAAAUGAUGAGUCUCAAAUGGGACGAAACACGCGUCAAACUGGAU
rnacentral:hammerhead_ribozyme from 1 species